CUCCGUUUUCAAACUCGAAAUCAUCAAGUAAUCAAAACAUGUGGCCCAGGAAUUCCUUCGUGUUCCUUUUUGGAGCUGUGCUAUUAAUCACUAUAGCUGUUACACAUGCCCAGCCUGGUGUGCCGGGUGGUGUUGUUGUUAUCCCAACUAAAAGACCUCCUCCAACUGGAGCACCUACGCCCCCAACUAGGAGACCUACACCCCGAACCAGGAGACCUUUAAUCUACCAACUAGAAGUGCUACGCGUUCAACUAGAAGACGCACUACGCCGCCAACUAGAACAACUACAACUUCAACUAGCAGGCGAAUUACGCCGCCAACUAAGAGAGCUACUCCAAAGUAUACGAGACAGAACUAGGAACUGAUAAAUGUGCUUUACGCACUCUCAACUGUUAAUCUAGGCCGCGUAAUAACUGGCCCUUUAUAAGUCAGCCAUUGCGAAAAGCUAAAACUUGGGGAACCUGCCGCUAAUAAGUUAGAGACACAAUGAUUGAUAGAAUGUUAACUAAUUGAUGUUAAAUAUGAAAU